CACCUCUAGCAUCACCAGUAUUAGAUCGCCUUGUUUAUCAAAAACUUUGAGGUAAAACCUGCCCAAUGUAUUAGUAUCAAUGGCCGCGGUAUUCUGACCGUGCGAAGGUAGCAUAAUCAUUAGUCUCUUGAUUAGAGGCUCGUAUGAAUGGUUAAACGAGAAAAAUACUGUCUCUCACUAAAUAAUAGAAUUUUAUUUUUAAGUGAAAAAGCUUAAAUAAAUCUGAAGGACGAUAAGACCCUAUAGAGCUUUAUUUCGUAAAGCUAUUAUUAAUUUAGAACAAUAAUAAGAUAGCCUAAAGAAAUUUUGUUGGGGCGACAAGAAGACAAAAACUAACUCUUACUUUUUAAAACAUAAAAAAAUGAAAAAUUGAUCCUUAAUGAAAGAUCAAAUGAACAAGUUACCUUAGGGAUAACAGCGUAAUCCUUUUUGAGAGUUCUCAUCGACAAAAGGGUUUGCGACCUCGAUGUUGGAUUAAGAAUUUGCUAAGGUGCAGAAGCUUUAGUAAAAGGUCUGUUCGACCUUUAAAAUCUUACAUGAUCUGAGUUCAAACCGGAGAUGUUCAACGAUUAAAGUCCUACG
rnacentral:rRNA from 1 species